CGGUGCGGGUGGUACGGGCCGAGCGCGGCCGGGAGGCGGCCGGGCGCAGUGGUUGGUGCCGCUGAGGGGGAGCGGCCGCCAUGGCGAGCGGGGGGAUCCGCUGGCACCGUGAAUGUCCCGCCGGCACCGUGAAUGUCCCGGAAAAUUAACAUCCUGGUGUUUUCCUUGCACAAAGUCCCCCUGCCAAGGUUUUGCUGUGGAGGAAGGAGUGAAUUGAUUAAAUCGAGAAAAUUUUGAUAGAGCAUCCAAUCCUUCACUCUUCUUCCUGAUUCUGGAGGAAACUCCUGGGCUUUAAUCUGGAUUUCCAAAUAAAAUUUGUUGUAAAUAAAAAAAAUUCUGAAAUAAAAAGAAGGGAAAUACAAAUUCCGAA